AGUCCGGCGGACGUAGUCGGCCAGCCCCACCCCCCAAGGCUAUAGCCCACCCGUUUUUGUGGCCUUUUUCCGCUGGACGAACUUGGCGCCCCGGCCUUCGGGCAGUUUUUUUCUGGCGCGGUUUUGCCCGCGGCCUAUUUUUGGCACUUGGAGGCCCCUCGCAAAGUCUCGCGGCAUUCUGAGUCCGGCGGAAGAAGUUGGCCAGCCCCACCCUCCAAGGCUAUAGCCCACCCGUUUUUGUGGCCUUUUUCCGCUGGACGAACUUGGCGCCCCGUCCUUCGGGCGGUUAUUUUUGGACGCGGCUUUGCCCGCGGCCUAUUUUUGGUAAAUGGAGGCCCCUCGCAAAGUCUCGCGGCAUUCCGAGUCCGGCGGAAGAAGUUGGCCAGCCCCACCCCCCAAGGCUAUAGCCCACCCGUUUUUGUGGCCUUUUUCCGCUGGACGAACUUGGCGCCCCGGCCUUCGGGCGGUUAUUUUUGGGCGCGGCUUUGCCCGCAGCCUAUUUUUGGCACACGGAGGCCGCUCAAAAAGUGUCACGGCAUUCCGAGUCCGGCGGACGAAGUCGGCCAGCCCCACCCCCCAAGGCUAUAGCCCACCCGUUUUUGUGGCCUUUUUCCGCUGGAC
rnacentral:lncRNA from 1 species